AGAGUUUGAUCCUGGCUCAGGACGAACGCUGGCGGUGUGCCUCACACAUGCAAGUCGAACGGGGUAGCAAUACCCAGUGGCGGACGGGUGAGUAACACGUGGGAAUCUGCCUCAGAGAGGGGGAUAGCAGACCGAAAGGUCUAUUAAUACCCCAUAUGCCGAAAGGUGAAAGGAGCAAUCCGCUUUGAGAUGAGCCCGCG
rnacentral:rRNA from 1 species